AAAAUUACAAUAGAUAAGUAGACUGUGACUGCACACUGCUCUACAGCACACAUUUUGACCCAAGCAAAAUGUUCUUACUUAGAAAACAGCCAGAUAGAUUGUUGAAAGUGAAAACCUUAUUCUAAGAAACAAAAAUGAACAGCAAUCAAAUUCACAACACAGUUGAAUAAGCUACAAUUAUAAAAUGAAGAACCAGAAAUAAUAUAAAAUCAAAUUGGAAACAUAUAGAUCCUAUGUGAUUUGAUUGAUAAAACAAAGAAAAGGGACUCGAACUUCAAAACUCAGAACAGAUUAACAAAACUAAAUGAAAUGAAAGUCUUCCAAAUCAAAACAGAACAAAAGAAGUGUUUUGGCUGGCUGGUUUCAGGAAAUUGAAACAUGUCCUUCAAUGUUGAAACUAAAAAUUACGAAGUGUAGAGGUCCAAAUUUAAACAAAAAGUUACCUCCCUUUAAAUGUUAAUACAGACAAACCAAAUUCUAUCUUUUCCAACUCCUCCUUAGCAAUCAAACAAAAGAUAAAUCAAAUCCGAAACUGCAAAACCCCACACAACAACCACACACGUCAUUGGAAGGAAAACCCACUUCACUUAUGGAAACUAGGAGCAGAAUGGAGAUUUAACUAUUGUAGUUCCUAAAGCAUGCGAGCUUCAAGACCUUUCCUUUCCCUUAACAUCUCGGCAACCAAACAACACUGCAAACUCUCGCAAACUUUCAAACAGAAAAGAUUGGAAAUGAGAGAUCAGUCCAGGGAAAAAAGAUAUCCAACGUAAUUUGACCCUAAAAAACACCAAUCAAGACUUGAACCAACAGAAGCGGAACCUUGUCUAAAAACAACCAAGAAAAGUUCUUCAAGAUUUCAAAGCCAACAUUACAAGAACAUAAAUACCAUGCAAAAGCAAAAUUAGAAAACAAAAGCACAC
rnacentral:lncRNA from 1 species